rfam:Gorilla gorilla gorilla genomic chromosome, chr17, whole genome shotgun sequence
AGGCACAGUGGUGCAUGCCUAUGGCCCUAGCUACUUGGGAGACUGAGGCAGGAGAAUCGCUUAAGCCCAGGAGUUCUGGGCCAUAGUGCCCUAUGCCAGUUGGAUGUCCACACUAAGUUCAGCAUCAAUAUGAUAACCUCCUGGGAGUAGGGGACAACUGGUUGCCUAAGGAGGGGUGAACUGGCCCAGGUCAGAAAUGGAGCAAGUCAAAACUCUCAUUCUGAUCAGUAGUAGGAUCACACCUGUGAAUAGCUACUGCACUCUAGUCUGGGCAACAUAGUAAGACUCUGUCUUGA